rnacentral:rRNA from 1 species
GAUGAACGCUGGCGGCGUGCCUAAUACAUGCAAGUCGAGCGAACGGACGAGAAGCUUGCUUCUCUGAUGUUAGCGGCGGACGGGUGAGUAACACGUGGAUAACCUACCUAUAAGACUGGGAUAACUUCGGGAAACCGGAGCUAAUACCGGAUAAUAUUUUGAACCGCAUGGUUCAAAAGUGAAAGACGGUCUUGCUGUCACUUAUAGAUGGAUCCGCGCUGCAUUAGCUAGUUGGUAAGGUAACGGCUUACCAAGGUAACGAUGCAUAGCUGACCUGAGAGGGUGAUCGGCCACACUGGAACUGAGACACGGUCCAGACUCCUACGGGAGGCAGCAGUAGGGAAUCUUCCGCAAUGGGCGAAAGCCUGACGGAGCAACGCCGCGUGAGUGAUGAAGGUCUUCGGAUCGUAAAACUCUGUUAUUAGGGAAGAACAUAUGUGUAAGUAACUGUGCACAUCUUGACGGUACCUAAUCAGAAAGCCACGGCUAACUACGUG